UGUUGAGUGGGUUUUCAAGGACCUCUCGGUCCAUGGGAAAGAAAGGCAUAAUCGAGCCAGCACAACAGGGUGCCCAUGGGAGAGACAAUUUGGGUGAAAUGUAGAAGAUGGGGAAUUUUGGCUGAGAAGCACACACCUGAGAGGAGUGGUGUCUUGGAAGAUUCAGAAGUGGGAAGGGUGUAGUGUGGUAUGGGACUCGGAGGGCUGGCUGGACUCUAGGGUGUGUCACUGUAUGUAUGAGUUUGUGGGGUGGGGUCAGCAGGCCAAACCAGCAGGCAGGGAGGUGCUGGAUUAUGUAAAGCCUGAAUCUGGACCAUCCUGUGAGAACUGGAGGAGGCCAACUGAAGCAUGGCACUGCCUUCCAAGGGGUUCAAACAGUCUUCAGCAUGGAGCCAAAGUACAUCAUAUACAAGGAUCAGUGUUCAAGAUGGGAUGUAAGUCUAGAAUUCUGCACUCUUAAGUGACACUUUUGAAGAG
rnacentral:lncRNA from 1 species